rnacentral:misc_RNA from 1 species
AACGCAUAUUGCGCUCGAGGCUUCGGCUAAGAGCAUGUCUGCCUCAGCGUCGGGUUAAUAUCACUACCUUUUAACCUGGUUAACACUGGGUUAAAACUCGUGCGUAGUAGGUCUGGCCUUUCCAGCGCACAGCUGGAUGGGCUGAAGCGCAGAGUGCUGAUUCAGGACCCUGUCAAGGGCCGCAACUGGGUAGGCAAUUAACACUUGCUAAUCAUGCUUAGUUGUUGGUCUUGGGACUUGGUUGGCCCUCCACCAGGAAACUUAACCCCACUUAUUUUCUCGACCUGAGCUCAGGCAAGAACACCCGCUGAACUUAA